GAUGAACGCUGGCGGCGUGCUUAACACAUGCAAGUCGAACGGAAAGGCCAGUGCUUGCACUGGUGCUCGAGUGGCGAACGGGUGAGUAACACGUGGGUGAUCUGCCCUGCACUUUGGGAUAAGCCUGGGAAACUGGGUCUAAUACCAGAUAGGACCAUGCUUUGGAUGGUGUGGUGGAAAGUUUUUUCGUUGUGGGAUGAGCUUGCGGCCUAUCAGCUUGUUGGUGGGGUAAUGGCCUACCAAGGCGUCGACGGGUAGCCGGCCUGAGAGGGUGUACGGCCACAUUGGGACUGAGAUACGGCCCAGACUCCUACGGGAGGCAGCAGUGGGGAAUAUUGCACAAUGGGCGCAAGCCUGAUGCAGCGACGCCGCGUGGGGGAUGACGGCCUUCGGGUUGUAAAAUCCUUUCGCAACUGACGAAGCUUUUUGUGACGGUAGGUUGAGAAGAAGCACCGGCUAACUACGUG
rnacentral:rRNA from 1 species